AUUGAACGCUGGCGGCAGGCCUAACACAUGCAAGUCGAACGAGUGGCGGACGGGUGCGUAAUGUCUGGGAAACUGCCUGAUGUAGGGGGAUAACUACUGGAAACGGUAGCUAAUACCGCAUACCCUCAGAUGUGCCCAGCUGGUAUUGGCUUGUUGGUGGGGUAACGGCUCACCACGGCGACGAUCCCUAGCUGGUCUGAGAGGAUGAACAGCAACACGGGAACUGAGACACGGUCCAGACUCCUACGGGAGUCAGCAGUGGGGAAUAUUGCACAAGGGGCGAAAGCAUGAUGCAGCCAGGCCGCGUGGAUGAAGAAGGCUUUCGGGUUGUAAAGUACUUUCAGAGGGGAGGCGGUACCCGCAGAAGAAGCACCGGCUAACUCCGUGCCAGCAGCCGCGGUAAUUC
rnacentral:rRNA from 1 species